rnacentral:rRNA from 1 species
GAUGAACGCUGGCGGCGUGCCUAAUACAUGCAAGUCGAGCGAACGGACGAGAAGCUUGCUUCUCUGCUGUUAGCGGCGGACGGGUGAGUAACACGUGGAUAACCGACCUAUAAGACUGGGAUAACUUCGGGAAACCGUAGCUAACACCGGAUAAUAUUUUGAACCGCAGGGUUCAAAAGUGAAAGACGGUCUUGCUGUCACUUAUAGAUGGAACCGCGCUGCAUUAGCUAGUUGGUAAGGUAACGGCUUACCAAGGCGACGAUGCAUAGCCGACCUGAGAGGGUGAUCGGCCACACUGGAACUGAGACACGGUCCAGACUCCUACGGGAGGCAGCAGUAGGGAAUCUUGCGCAAUGGGCGAAAGCCUGACGCAGCAACGCCGCGUGAGUGAUGAAGGUCUUCGGAUCGUAAAGCUCUGUUAGUAGGGAAGAACAUAUGUGUAAGUAACUGUGCACAUCUUGACGGUACCUAAUCAGAAAGCCACGGCUAACUACGUG